AAUUUAUAUUUUUUUUUAUGAAAUCUCUCUUUUUCUCUCACCAACAUGUAGAAAGGGAAGAAGAAAUUCAUCUCAUCAGGAAAAGUCAGCGUCUCUCUCUUUUCAUCAACCUUCCUUCUUCUUCUUCAUCUUCUCAAUCUCUUUUGAAGAUAGUCACAAUUUGUUUCAGGAAAUACUCACAAACACGAUGCUAGUAUCAUAAUCUCCUCUUCCCAUUGACUGAUUAUAUUUUCUUAAUUUUCGAUCAUAUUCUUUCGUAUAUAUGUAUAUAAUAUACACCAAAAUACACUCAUAUAUAUCAUCACACAUAGAUUACAGCAUCUUUUAGCUUCUUGAGAUGGACAAUUUUCAAGGAGACUUGACCGACGUCGUGCGAGGUAUUGGAGGCCACAUGCUGUCUCCGGAAGUUUCUUCUCCUCCGAGCAUAUUGCCUCUUCCACAACCAUCUCCCUCAGAUCUUCACAUAAAUCCUUUUGGAGAUCCAUUCGUGAGCAUGACCGAUCCUCUUCUCCAAGAACUCAACGCCGUCACAAAAUCUAGUCAUUUCUCCACCGCCAGGAACAACAGCAACAACGGUUUCUUAGUUCCUAAGGUACUGGAGCAUGAUCAAAUAAAGAGUCAAUGCAGUAUCUUCCCAAGAAUCCGGAUCUCGCAUAGUAACAUCAUCCACGAGUCCUCUCCGUGUAAUUCUCCGGGCAUGUCGGCUCACGUUAUGGCCGCCGCCGCCUCGCCUAGAGGGAUUAUCAACGUCAAUACAAACAGUCCUAGAAAUUGUCUAUUGGUCGAUGGUAACACGUUCUCGUCUCAGAUUCAGAUUUCUUCCCCUCGGAAUAUAGGUCUUAAGAGAAGGAAGAGUCAGGCAAAGAAGGUGGUGUGUAUACCGGCGCCGGCUGCAAUGAACAGCCGAUCAAGUGGAGAAGUGGUUCCGUCUGAUCUAUGGGCUUGGCGUAAGUACGGUCAGAAACCCAUCAAAGGCUCUCCUUUUCCAAGGGGUUACUAUAGAUGCAGCAGCUCAAAAGGUUGUUCAGCUAGAAAGCAAGUCGAAAGAAGCCGAGCAGAUCCAAGCAUGUUGGUUAUUACAUAUACUUCCGAACAUAACCAUCCUUGGCCCAUUCAACGCAACGCUCUUGCCGGUUCCACACGCUCCUGCUCCUCUAACCCUAAUUUCUCCAAAUCCUCAACCGGAACAGCUUCAUUCGAUGGCCCUCAAAACAACACUCACUUGCCUUCCUCAGCCUCUGCCGUUAAGAACGAACAAACAGAAGACAUGGAGUUGGAAAAUUUUGAAGACGAUGACGAUAAUAAAAUUGCUCCAUAUAGACCGGAGCUUCAUGACCAGCCAGAUGAUUUCUUUGCAGAUCUUGAAGAGCUAGAAAUAGAAGGAGAUUCUCUAAGCAUGUUGCUUUCUCAAGGAUGCGCCGGCGACCCGAACAAUGAAACGAUAGCGUUCGACGGGAUCACUGAUUUCUUCGGUUGGUCUGAGGGAAAUAAUAAUAAAGACGAUCAAGAGUCAAAGUCGUUAUAGAUAGUGUUAAUAACUUAACAUAAACAUAAUUCAAGACUAAGUUAAGCUUGUGAAAAUGACGACUAUAGCUAGCGGUGGGUCAAUGAGCUGGUUACUUGGGCGAUCGUUAAAGAUGUCUAUGUAAUCAAGUUUUGCUGCGGGUCUGGGAGCAGGAAAAGUGGGGCGAAGGAAUAUUAGGUGGAUGGGACACAAAGUGAAUAAGUUCGUUCAUCUACAGCUCAAUCACCCAGGCGCAUCCAAUAAAAAUACAAAGCUCUGAAACCAGGCCAAUUGUCUUGUUUAUAAUAUCAGAAUUUAAAUUAUACCUAUCAUUUAUUUAAAUUCAUUUCUUGUAUGAGUUCCUACAAUUUUUUUCUCAGGUGUACUGGACUGAUUAUAUACGUCAACAGCCAGCUAUAAAUGUUUCAAACCUUACAGAUGAGAUA